rnacentral:rRNA from 1 species
AUUGAACGCUGGCGGAAUGCUUUACACAUGCAAGUCGAACGGCAGCACGGACUUCGGUCUGGUGGCGAGUGGCGAACGGGUGAGUAAUGUAUCGGAACGUGCCCAGUCGUGGGGGAUAACGUAGUGAAAAUUACGCUAAUACCGCAUACGAUCUAUGGAUGAAAGCGGGGGAUCGCAAGACCUCGCGCGAUUGGAGCGGCCGAUAUCAGAUUAGGUAGUUGGUGGGGUAAAGGCCCACCAAGCCAACGAUCUGUAGCUGGUCUGAGAGGACGACCAGCCAAACUGGAACUGAGACACGGUCCAGACUCCUACGGGAGGCAGCAGUGGGGAAUUCUGGACAAUGGGCGAAAGCCUGAUCCAGCCAUUCCGCGUGCAGGAUGGAGGCCCUCGGGUUGUAAACUGCUUUUGUACAGAACGAAAAGGUUUCUACUAAUACUAGGAGCUCAUGACGGUACUGUAAGAAUAAGCACCGGCUAACUACGUGCCAGCCGCCGCAGUAA